GCCUGGGUAGCUCAGUGGUUGAGCAUCUGCCUCCAGCUCAGGGAAUGAUCCUGGAUCUGGGGAUCAAGUCCCCACAUCGGGCU
rnacentral:tRNA from 1 species